ensembl:lncRNA
GCUUGGUAAAGACAAGACAAUCUGUGGUUCAUCAAGACAAUCAGAACGACGGGAGCAUGGCGGUAAGAAUGAACUGAAUUUGUUUGUUUUAUUGAAACAUGACAGGCAGACAGAUAGUCUGACUGCACACCUGAGCAGGUGGACAGAUCUCUGUAGAUAUAACCUCUGUGAGUGUCUUUACUGGAACUAAACCCUUACAGUUUACAGGUGAGAAAAAUAUUUUUCUAACUCAGUGACACUUCAGAGUUUUUGACUCAUCUAUAGUACUUUCUUUCUUUUAGCCGCCCAAGUCCUCCCAGUCAAACUACAGCACAAAGCUGAAAGACAGCCCAGCAGAAAACCUGGAGUCUGUUUACGAGGACCCCGACGCUCUGAGGCCAUCCAAACUCUCCCAGUCAAACUACAGCUCAGCAGAAAACCUGGAGUCUGUUUAUGAGGACCCCGACGCUCUGAGGGACUACCAGGCUGACAGGCUCCCUACAGACUGUCAGAGGCCUCGCCCUGUCCGUCCUCCUCCCAGACCACCAGCCAGCAUGAAGCCCAAAGCAGGCGUCGGAGCACACAGUAAUUACAGGAGGAC